rnacentral:rRNA from 1 species
UACGAAGGGUGCAAGCGUUGUUCGGAAUCAUUGGGCGUAAAGCGCGCGCAGGCGGAUUGAUAAGUCAGGUGUGAAAUCUCGAGGCUCAACCUCGAAACUGCGCCUGAAACUAUUAGUCUAGAGUGUCGGAGGGGGCAGGGGAAUUUCACGUGUAGGGGUAAAAUCCGUAGAGAUGUGAAGGAACACCGGAGGCGAAGGCGCCUGCCUGGACGACUACUGACGCUGAGGCGCGAAAGCGUGGGGAGCGAACAGG